AUUACAAUAAGUGAUGACAAUUGUGUUAUCUGUUUGUCUUCUCUAUCGAUGCUUCUGGGGCCUGAUUCAUUUGCGCCAUUUUGUGUGUUGUAGUCAAAAUGAAAGUCAUAUUGCAUUAAAUAUCAAAUAGCGGUUUGAGUCAGUCAUGAGAACUGUAUCAGUCAUCUCUUUGUCAUUCUGGAUUUAAAAACAUCACUGUUAUGACCGGAGAUCCACUCUACUGGCCACCUGUAUAAAAUGCUAGUGCAAAAUUAUUAUUAAUAACUGUCUAUCCUUCGAAAAGACUUUUCCAUUUGAUUCAUUUCUUUCUCUUUUUUUAAUUCAGUAGUAAAGUAUCCCACUGUACAUAUUUUAAAACAUAGCAUUAGCCAUGGAUUGCGGAACGGACCAAAAGAAAGGGUUGGGGACUGGUGAUGGUUUGGGGUGUGAUUGGCAUUAUAAUGCAUUUUAAUUGUACCAAUUACUUGUGAAUGUACUAUAUAGAGUCUGCAAGAUUGUACAUGUUACAUCCUAGUCAACAUUUUAUUAUUAGAAACUGUACUAUAGUAUUAGUUAGAUGCCAGAUGUAUUAUUUGUUUUUAAGCUAUGACUCUGGAUAACUGAUUUUUAGAAUAGAGAUCACAGUUCUCCCACUAUAAAAAUUGUGGAAUAUAACUUCUUACUUUGAGGUGAAUCAUGCAGUCUACAUGAAAAGCAGGAACAAACUACCAUUUCACAAUGUUUCUAUGCUGCAUUUACUAUAAAAUGUAUUAGUGUUAUGCAGUUUUUUUUUUCAGCUAAACUAAAUUAUGCUAGUGUCGGCUGUCAUACUUUGACUGUCACACAAAUAUUGCUUUCCACAGAAAAAGAAUUCCACGAAAAGAAUUGAAACCACAAUCUUCAAUAAAAGAGUGAAAAUAUGACGUCUCAGUGUAAGUGUGCAAAAAAAAAUGCAGGCAACGAUAUUCAAAAGGCAAGCCGGAUGCCACGUGAAAACAACAGUUCAGGAGGUGACAGUUCAGCCAUGACACGUGGAAGGCAAAGGGUCCCGGUCCAAUGUGAAGACACUAUUUCAGUUCAGUGUCAGGAUGACCAGUUCGGGUUUGAUGCUGAAGUGGUUUUUGAUGACAAAUCCUUUCACUUACAGAGGUGCACUCCAUUUGUAGCAGGAUCACAUCAUGGGGGAAGAGUUCCUGUGCAGAAUCAGAAUACUGCUGCUGGUCAAGUGCAGGAGUCAUUUGCUGUGAAUGGACAAAUAAGUGCAAAUGCAGGCUUCUCCACAACGGCAGAUGCUUUGGGGGCUGAUAGCCUAACAUUCAGAGAUGGGGUGUCUCCAGGAUUCAUAGCACCUGAUGGCAUGGGAGGCAACAGCAAUGAACCGAUGAACAGAGAUGAACGUUAUGAAGAUAAGCGUGUGCAUCCAAAGGGAAAGAAGAAAAAAACGUGGAAACGGCUUUAUUGCUGGAGUCAUUAAUGCAGACCAUCGGAAUAAUGGGAAUGUUGCAGUUACUGUGUCUGCUAUAUCGACCCAAAUGAACACUCGCCACCAACCAGGAGGUCGUCACUUGGACCCGCCUUUUACUGAUGGUUACGUAUUACAACACAUUUAUGGAAGAGGAGGGAACAGGUCUCUGCUUUGGUACAGAGAUGGACAACACGAGAAGGAGGAGAGAAAUUUGCUUCUGAAGGAGAAGAAGAAAAAAGCUGGAAGAAAGAGGAAAAGAUCCCACCAUGCUGGUCAUUAG
ensembl:lncRNA